rnacentral:lncRNA from 1 species
GAUCUAGUAAUAACAAACAUCUUUCGAUGUCAUGUCACACAAAGAAAAUAGGUUUUAGGUUGCACGGCUAAAACAAACAUUAAGAUUUAAAAGUCACCAAUAUUACAACAUGAAUAGAUUUACAUAGAACACUAUGACCUAUUUAGAAUACGCUUAUAAUGAUUACAUCUAAAUCCAACAAAAGAAAUGUUAGCUACGCUUAUACGUGGUUAGUGUAACAACUGGUCUUUCUAGAGACAUCGACUUUAGAAACGGGAUCUGCCUUAUCACCUGAGCAACAGUUCUUCUUUCAAUCUUACUUUAUUAUCCUCUUGUUGUAUAUAAAAGUGAUCAUACUCAAAUUAUGUACUCCCCUAAUCCAUCAAAACUCUCUUUACGCAGAAUUGAAAACUUAUAUUUAUAGGUAAAAUUUGAGCCUCCCUGCUCCGAAACCAUGACUAGCCUACUAUCUUAUGUAGCAAGCAUUGCUUGCAUGUCUUCAACGUGUCAUUGGCCUCCCUUGCUCGCCCAACGCACCACCCCUUCAUCCAACACAUUAAUCAUUUCUUCACCAUAAAGUACUUGCACCAACUGUUGCCACUUAUCCUUACACUUCUCCCAGCGUGCCUAUAGACGGGGUCUAGCAAGCCUUGAUCCUUCAAGGUUUUUCUUUUUCAUGUUUUCUUCAUGUUGAUUCAUGGUUUUUCAGUUCUUUUCACCUAUUUCUAAUAAAUGCAUACAAGAAAAGUUCAAUCAAGUGUUUCUUUACUUUACACAGGCAAAAUGUUUUUUUUUUUUGUGAUGUUUACUUGUAAAAUAAGUAGAUAAGUGCAAACAUUCUUAAUGCAAAUCCCGCACUUAUCAAUAAAGGAUAUUAUAAGAUAUUUAUAAUUUUUUAUAUUCUAAAUUUAAUUGAUUGUGUUUUAAGUG